rnacentral:rRNA from 1 species
UAGUCCACGCCGUAAACGAUGCAUACUAGGUGUUGGCUUUUCGGAGCCAGUGCUGCAGUUAACGCAUUAAGUAUGCCACCUGGGGAGUACGUCGGCAACGAUGAAACUCAAAGGAAUUGACGGGGGCCCGCACAAGCGGUGGAGCAUGUGGCUUAAUUCGAUGCAACGCGAGGAACCUUACCUGGGCUAAAUUCACAGUGCUAUUUCUGGAAACAGGAAGUCCCUUCGGGGCGCUAUGGAAGGUGCUACAUGGCUGUCGUCCGCUCGUGCCGUGAGGUGUUGGGUUAAGUCCCGCAACGAGCGCAACCCCUGUGGUUAGUUACCAGCACGUAAUGGUGGGGACUCUAGCCAGACUGCCUACGCAAGUAGUGAGGAAGGUGGGGACGACGUCAAGUCAUCAUGGCCCUUACGUCCAGGGCUGCACACGUGCUACAAUGGUUGGUACAAUGGGUCGCCACCCAGCGAUGGGGCGCAAAUCUAUAAAACCAAUCUCAGUUCGGAUCGG